rnacentral:rRNA from 1 species
UACUCUCAGGACGCCCGUAAAUGACGGGUUUGAUAGAGGCCGGAUGUAAGCUCCGAGGUCCCCCGAGGAGUUCAGUCCGGGCCAACUAAUGUCCUUCGACGCCGCUGG